UCUGGUGAUCAGAGCUGUCUGCUGGAAGAAGACAUCUUUACAAGCUCAGGAGGUGAGGCGUGGUCUCCAGCUGGUGACGCCAUUUGAGGAAGUCAGGAAAACUUUGGGAAGUCCCUGAGCAAGUGCCUUUCAAGAUGACCACGGACUCUAGGUCCCUGUGUUACUCUCUGUGUGCUGUCUGCCUCGAGGCAGAGAAGCGCGCCCGCUACGCACGCCCACAGUCCAGACGUUCUACACAAGGAACCAACUAACCGUGGGUUGGAUUCUCUGAAACCAGGAGCCAAAACGCGACUUCUCAUAAAUCCCGCUGCAGUAACCAGCUGGAACCGGGUUUGAGGGUUGAAACCAGCUUGUUCACUGGGGGGGGGGUCUGGAAAUGGUGCAAACAAGGAAUCGCUUGAAAUAACUGGGGAGUAGCCUUGGUCUCGGCAUGCCGAAGUUGAUGUGCACCGAACAGACGCUUGCUCCACAGAAGAGAGCCCCAGGUGUGGGGCCCCGUUGGGACACACAAAUCUGGCUGCUGGGCCCGUGUGGCAGCCCUUCCAGGAGCUGGAUGAGAUUCACGUGUUUCCCUUCUCCCCGCCGGAGGAAGUUGGAAACGGCCCCUCACUGAGCAUUUUCCACGGCUUGGCUGAGCAGCCCAAUACAGAAAUCUUCUAAAACAGAAAUCUUAGUUAAAAAACAAAAAGACUCGUGAGUGACUUUCUUUAGGUUGUAAAAGCAACACACGAUAUUUUGAGACAUUUAUAAAAUUGAGAAGUGCAUGAAUUUAACUACGUCUAGUUUUUACUACAAUCUACUGCUUUCCUCCUAUGCCUGUUAACUAAUGUGUGCCUUUCAGGAUGUUUUAUAAGACGCCCCAAUCUCCUGUUUUAUCAGAAAGAUACAAAGCACAGGUGCUACUGUUAUAGGUUCGGAGGAAACAAGCACAGUUUUGAGGCUGGUUGAGUCCUGGUAAGACACCUGAGCCAAACCUCAUCCCUUGCUUUGAGCUAAUGAUUUUUCCAGGAAAACAGUUCCUGUCUUGCAGGCCACAUUUAUUCAAAGAUACUCUUUUUUAAAUGCAGUUUUCACAGCCCGGACCUAUGCUGAUUCAUAUACCUUUACAGAAGAUAGUGAUGGACUCAAGGGUUGUGUCUGGGGCCUGCUGCAAAGGCCUAGGCAAAGGGCUCCACUCUCAAGCCAUGUCCUCAUCUAGAGGGUUUAGGGUCUCUGAAGACUCCUAAGACACGGACAGGCCUGUGUGUAGAGUGAUGGGAAAAAGCAAUCGUGGCAGAAGUCCUUGACAUAUCAACAUCUCCUUUUUCCUAUAGGAAUUUCCAGGAGUUCUGGAGGGAAUGUUUCAGCUUUUCUGUCGGAUGCCGUAGGAGGUUAGGCUACGACUGGCUGUGAAGGUGGGACUUGUCAAAGGCCCCUUUUCUAGAAACCUUUUGAGGCUGGGUCAGUGCUGUGUUUCUGACAAGCAUAAUACCUGUGUGGCAUCCAUCAGAGAGGAGAGUCUUUUCUCUGCUCUCUAGCUCUCCCUCAUUAACAGCCGCGUUAUUACCGCAGACUUAUUAGUGACUGGCAACAUACAUUCAACCAAUAGCCAUUAGGGCUUGCAUACUGAGUGACAGGUACCCUUGUAGGAACUGGGCAUACGCAGAUGGGCAACAUAUUUCUUCCCUUAAAAAGCUUACAGUCAGUGGCAGAAGGAACACAGCCUGCAAGUCGGGGGAAAAACAGUUGAGUAGAUUUUAUAGCAUGUUUGUUUUCUGAGACAGGGUUUCUCUGUGUAGCCUUGGCUGUCCUGAAAUGAGCUCUGUAGACCCACUAUAAUCAAACUCAGGGAUCCGCCUGCCUCUACCUCCUGAGUGCUGGGAUUAAAGGAGUGUGCCACCAUGCCUGGCUGAUUUUAUAGUAUUUUUAAUGUUGAUAAAUGUCAUGGCAUGGGCAAGAUUGUUCUCAUUGUUCCUGUCAUUCCUUGGAUUUCUGCUCCUAGAUCUCAUGCGGUGUUUACUAGGAGAAGUAACAUCAAACUGAAGUCAAAACCAGUUUGGUAAGGGUAGAGGAAAGAUGCUGCUACUGGCAUGAGACCCCACUUACCAAUUAUCUGAGUUUCUUUGGACGUAAGGUCAGAGGGACUUCAGAUCCUCAUGCUGAAUGGCUCCCAAUUGCCAGAAGUGCAGCCACUCACAAACCAAUGAGGGGAGGGUGGAUGAAUUAAUUCUCUUGGAUUGACUCCCUGGUUUUCUUUUUUCCGGCUGCUUCAGAUUUCAGUCAGACCGCCCACACAUUCCUGCGGGAUGCCCACACAUUAAGAAUUUGAUCAGGUGUCUUGCAGACAAUUCUCUGUGUCCUAAAGACAAUUGACUCCAGGGAUUGAUCACCCUUUGUUCACCCCGCCCCCAAUACCUCGGUUGGGGGCUGGUGUGUCUCUUCCUUGCUUAAUGAUUGUCUCCCUUCAGUUUCUCAGGGAAGAUCUGUUUUAGUAGGAAUAGGAAGAAGGGAGCUAUUGGGUAAAAGAGACAAAUAUCAACUCUCUGACCAGUUAGGGAUCCUGAUUCCUUUUGCAUUGUUUUACUUUGAAAUGCUGAGAAUACAGAUGUGUGAAUUCUGGGGGACUUCAGUUCAGGUUGUCAUACUUGCAUGACAAACAUUUUGCCCACUUAGCCAUUUUUUUUGCCCACUUAGCCAUUUUUCCAGCCCUUUAAAAACAAAAGGAGGUGAGAAGAGAAAGCAUGUGAUUGAGGAGAAUUCCCAAGACAAUUUAAGGAAAUAUGAAGACUAACGGAAUACCUGAUUUUAUUUUAGAAUUUCCCUCAACUUCUGGGGCUCUGUUAUUGUGUAUACUGUGAUUAUAUCUUAACAACAUAGUCUUUGUCCUGAAGUAUUUACAAUAUGAAAUUAUAUUGACAACAUGUAAUAUCUACGAUUUGCUUCAAAAUAAUCAUAAAUAAAUAUAAAUAAGUAAAUUAAAAAUUAUCAAAAUUAAAACUCAUUAUAAA